GGGUUACAGCCUUGCUGAAUUAUUCACCCUUGUCUUUUGCGUACUUCUUGUUUCCUUGGUGGGUUCGCCCACCACUAGGACAAACAUAAACCUUUUGUAAUUGCAAUCAGCGUCAGUUAACAAAUUAAUAAUUACAACUUUCAACAACGGAUCUCUUGGUUCUGGCAUCGAUGAAGAACGCAGCGAAAUGCGAUAAGUAGUGUGAAUUGCAGAAUUCAGUGAAUCAUCGAAUCUUUGUAACGCACAUUGCGCCCUUUGGUAUUCCAAAGGGCAUGCCUGUUCGAGUCGUCAUUUGUACCCUCAAGCUUUGCUUGGUGUUGGGCGUCUUGUCUCUAGCUUUGCUGGAGACUCGCCUUAAAGUAAUUGGCAGCCGGCCUACUGGUUUCGGAGUCGCAGCACAAGGUCGCACUCUCUAUCAGUCAAAGGUCUAGCAUCCAUUAAGCCUUUUUUUCAACUU
rnacentral:rRNA from 1 species